rnacentral:rRNA from 1 species
AUUGAACGCUGGCGGCAUGCCUUACACAUGCAAGUCGAACGGUAACAGGUCUUCGGAUGCUGACGAGUGGCGAACGGGUGAGUAAUACAUCGGAACGUGCCUAGUAGUGGGGGAUAACUACUCGAAAGAGUGGCUAAUACCGCAUGAGAUCUACGGAUGAAAGCAGGGGAUCGCAAGACCUUGUGCUACUAGAGCGGCCGAUGGCAGAUUAGGUAGUUGGUGGGAUAAAAGCUUACCAAGCCGACGAUCUGUAGCUGGUCUGAGAGGACGAUCAGCCACACUGGGACUGAGACACGGCCCAGACUCCUACGGGAGGCAGCAGUGGGGAACUUUGGACAAUGGGCGCAAGCCUGAUCCAGCAAUGCCGCGUGCAGGAUGAAGGCCUUCGGGUUGUAAACUGCUUUUGUACGGAACGAAAAGCCCUGGGUUGAUACCCUGGGGUCAUGACGGUACCGUAAGAAUAAGCACCGGCUAACUACGUGCCAGCCGCCGCCGUAAGAC